AGAGUUUGAUCCUGGCUCAGAUUGAACGCUGGCGGCAGGCCUAACACAUGCAAGUCGAAUGGUAACAGGAAACAGCUUGCUGUUUCGCUGACGAGUGGCGGACGGGUGAGUAAUGUCUGGGAAACUGCCUGAUGGAGGGGGAUAACUACUGGAAACGGUAGCUAAUACCGCAUAACGUCGCAAGACCAAAGAGGGGGACCUUCGGGCCUCUUGCCAUCAGAUGUGCCCAGAUGGGAUUAGCUAGUAGGUGGGGUAACGGCUCACCUAGGCGACGAUCCCUAGCUGGUCUGAGAGGAUGACCAGCCACACUGGAACUGAGACACGGUCCAGACUCCUACGGGAGGCAGCAGUGGGGAAUAUUGCACAAUGGGCGCAAGCCUGAUGCAGCCAUGCCGCGUGUAUGAAGAAGGCCUUCGGGUUGUAAAGUACUUUCAGCGGGGAGGAAGGGAGUAAAGUUAAUACCUUUGCUCAUUGACGUUACCCGCAGAAGAAGCACCGGCUAACUCCGUGCCAGCAGCCGCGGUAAUACGGAGGGUGCAAGCGUUAAUCGGAAUUACUGGGCGUAAAGCGCACGCAGGCGGUUUGUUAAGUCAGAUGUGAAAUCCCCGGGCUCAACCUGGGAACUGCAUCUGAUACUGGCAAGCUUGAGUCUCGUAGAGGGGGGUAGAAUUCCAGGUGUAGCGGUGAAAUGCGUAGA
rnacentral:rRNA from 1 species